GACGAACGCUGGCGGCGUGCUUAACACAUGCAAGUCGAGCGGAAAGACCCUGCUCUUGUGCGGUUCUCGAUUGGCGCAGGGGUGAGUGACACGUGAGUAACCUGCCCUUGUCUUAGUGGUAACUUCAGGGAACUGCGGCUCAUAUCGGAGAGAAUCUCCUGAUGCAUAGUGGGGGAUGGAAAAUGUCGGCGGUUGGGGAUGUACUCGCGGCUUAUCAGCUUGUUGGUGGGGUAGUGGCUGACCAAGGCUUUGACGGGUAGCCGGCCUGAGAGGGUGACCGGCCCCAUUGGGACUGAGAUACGGCCCAGACUCCUACGUUAGGCAGCAGUGGGGAAUAGUGUACAGGGGCCGGGCGCCUGAUGCAGUAACGCCCUGCGCGGGAUAACGGCCUUUUGGUUGUAAACCGCAUUCGCCUGUGACGCAGCGCGCGUGACGGUAAUGGGUAAAGAAGCACCGGCUAACUACGUG
rnacentral:rRNA from 1 species